UACGAAGGGGCUAGCGUUGCUCGGAAUCACUGGGCGUAAAGGGUGCGUAGGCGGGUCUUUAAGUCAGGGGUGAAAUCCUGGAGCUCAACUCCAGAACUGCCUUUGAUACUGAAGAUCUUGAGUUCGGGAGAGGUGAGUGGAACUGCGAGUGUAGAGGUGAAAUUCGUAGAUAUUCGCAAGAACACCAGUGGCGAAGGCGGACUCACUGGCCCGAUACUGACGCUGAGGCA
rnacentral:rRNA from 1 species